GAUGAACGCUGGCGGCGUGCCUAACACAUGCAAGUCGAACGAAGCUUGACGGAUGAUUUCUUCGGAAUGAAACCAGAUAUGACUUAGUGGCGGACGGGUGAGUAACACGUGAGCAACCUGCCUUUCAGAGGGGGAUAACGGCUGGAAACGGUCGCUAAUACCGCAUGAUGUGUUCGGAUGGCAUCAUCUGAACAUCAAAGAUUUAUCGCUGAAAGAUGGGCUCGCGUCUGAUUAGAUAGUUGGUGGGGUAACGGCCUACCAAGUCUGCGAUCAGUAGCCGGACUGAGAGGUUGAACGGCCACAUUGGGACUGAGAUACGGCCCAGACUCCUACGGGAGGCAGCAGUGGGGAAUAUUGCACAAUGGGGGAAACCCUGAUGCAGCAACGCCGCGUGAAGGAUGACGGUUUUCGGAUUGUAAACUUCUUUUCUUAGUGACGAAGACAGUGACGGUAGCUAAGGAAUAAGCAUCGGCUAACUACGUG
rnacentral:rRNA from 1 species